UUGAUCUUUCAAUGAUGACUCGUGAUGUACUUAGUAUUCCUAUUACUACUGUAUCAUCAGAAUCAUCAUUCAGUAUUGGAAGACGCGUUCCCACCAAAUAUAGAAGCUGCAUCCAUCAUGAAAAUGUCCAAACACUUGUUACCACUCGAAAUUGGUUGCACUCUCAAAUUGAUGAAAAUGAAGAUUAUGAGACAACUUUACCAGAAGAUGAUUCAGAGAUGCUUGAAGUUAAAGUGGCGAUGUUAGAUACAUAAUAAGUGUCAUGAAAACUUUUCUUGAGGAGUUCAUUUUUAUUUUUAGUGAAUAAAAUAUUGCCAUUUUUUGUGA